UACGUAGGGGGCAAGCGUUGCCCGGAAUCAUUGGGCGUAAAGAGCGCGUAGGCGGCCCUGUAAGUCCGCUGUGAAAGUCAAGGGCUCAACCCUUGAAUGCCGGUGGAUACUGCAGGGCUAGAGUCCGGAAGAGGCGAGUGGAAUUCCUGGUGUAGCGGUGAAAUGCGCAGAUAUCAAGGAGGAACACCGGUGGCGAAGGCGGGUCUCUGGGCCGAUACUGACGCUGAGGAGCGAAAGCGUGGGAGCGAACAGGA
rnacentral:rRNA from 1 species